AUUGAACGCUGGCGGCAGGCCUAACACAUGCAAGUCGAACGCGUGGCGGACGGGUGAGUAAUGUCUGGGCACCUGCCUGAUGGAGGGGGAUAACUCCUGGAAACGGUAGCUAAUACCGCAUACCAUCAGAUGUGCCCAUCUGGGCUUAGCUAGUUGGUGGGGUAACGGCUCCCCAAGGCGACGAUCCGUCGCUGGUCUGAGAGGAUGACCAGCCACACUGGAACUGAGACACGGACAAGACUCCGACGGGGGGCAGCAUUGGGGAAUAUUGCACAAUGGGCGCAAGCCUGAGGCAGCCAUGCCGCGUGUAUGAAGAAGGCCUUCGGGUUGUAAAGUACUUUCAGCGGGGAGGCGUUACCCGCAGAAGAAGCACCGGCUAACUCCGGGCCAGCAGCCGCGGUAAUUC
rnacentral:rRNA from 1 species